GUCCUUGGGAGGGGAACACCUGCUGGAAACGGCUGCUAAUACCCCAUAGGCUGAGGAGCAAAAGGAGGAAUCCGCCCAAGGAGGGGCUCGCGUCUGAGAGUUAGUUGGUGAGGCAUUGGCUUACCAAGGCCACGAUCAGUCCCUGGUCCGAGAGGAUGAUCAGCCACACUGGGACUGAGACACGGCCCAUACUCCUACGGGAGGCAG
rnacentral:rRNA from 1 species